rnacentral:tRNA from 1 species
GGCAAGAUGGCCGAGUGGUCUAAGGCGGUAGAUUUAAGUCUUGUUAAGACCCCUACUGGAGAAAUCCGCGUGGGUUCGAGUCCCACUCUUGUCA